rnacentral:lncRNA from 1 species
GUCUUCCCUCGCGCGUAGAGAGUGACUCGAAGGACCCCCUCUCCUCUUCGCUGCAGCCCCUCCCCAUGCACGCUGGGAGACUCUUGGAGGGGAUAAGGUGGGGCCCGGAGAGGAAGAGAAGACAAUCGGAUUGGAUAGGCAGCUGCCAUGGCAACUGGAGGCUGUGGUUAUAUUGUCAUAGUAACCGAUGUGUGCGGACAGGGUCACCCUCCCCUUGGCCAAUGGAUUCCCAGGAAACCACCCAGGGUUCCCCGUUGGCUUCCCUUCCAUCUAAAGGCCUCCCCCAAGUUUCGGGCCAAAAAGCUGAAAUAAAGAACGAAGUCAAUAAUAAUAUGAAGUGUAUGAGAAAUAGCUGGAAAAUUCAUCAUCCAUGACUUGAAGAAAUUGACGUUUUACAAGUUAUAUUUUCGGUGAAGAGGCACUUUCAAGAUCCUUCUCUGAGACCUGCACCAAUAAGACUAUACCAAUGUUCAGUUGAAACAUCAGACACUGUUCUGGUUAUGAUGGACACCACAGUGAAAGAGACCUGGUCCCUGCCUUGAGGAAACCCAACUGCUGAUCUACUUCUGGGAACCGUCACAGCCUGAGAAAGAUGGCAUGCCCUGAAUGGAAUUCACAGAGAAUUAUUUUAAGUCAUGCUACUGGCCCCGCCCAGUUAUGUAACAACUUGCAUUUCCUCAAUUCUCUGGAAUGUGGCCAGUCAGGAACUUCCACAUUUGGUUUUUUUUUUUUCCCCCAUUUGUGGGUAAGAAAGUAAAAGAGGCAGGAAAACUGAAUUGAGAAAGAAGAAAGAAUAGGGGAAGAGAGAAAGAAAAAAGAAAACCAUGAAGCCUGGAAGAGGAGAAAGAAGAGAUAGAUGAGCAAAGAAGCACAUUGCCUGGUGGUAGUAAUAGUUGUCAGACACCCAUCUAUUAUAAUCUGUUUUCCAUGGGAGAUUUUAAGAAGAGGCUAGAUCCCCAGUCUGUCUUAAAAUCAAGAAAAGGGACUCUGUUGCCUCUAAAGUAUACUUCCAGACUCAGCAAUCUCUAAAUUCUGAGUGGGGCAUCCCUAGUUUUGCUGCCUAAAAUCUAUGACAGUUGGAAAUGAUUCCAUUUAAGAUCCAGUUCAAGAAGCUAUACACCCUGAGGAACUUUAUAUUGCCAUUUAGAGGACCGAUAUUCUCCAGAUUGCUUGAGCCCAGGAGUUUGAGACCAGCCUGGGCAACAUGGCAAAACUCCAUCUCUACCAAAAAAAAAAAAAAAACAAAAUUAGCUGGGCAUGGUGGUACACAUCUGUAGAACCAGCUACUCUGGAGGCUGAGCUGAGAGAACCCCUUGAGCCUAGGAGAUGGAGGUUGCUGUGAGCCAAGAUCGUGCCACUGCACUCAAGCCUGGGUGACAGAGCCAGACCCUAUCUCAUAAAUAAAUAAAUGUCAAUAUUCUCCAAAACAGAUUGUAUCAUUUGAAUUUGGACUUUGUGUACACUUGAUACUACACUUAAUCUUUGCCAAAAAGCCGAGAAGCAAUGGACUUUGGGUACAAGGUGGAAUAUCACUCUACUCUCACCCAUUUUAGUAUGAGUGAAAAUACCAUUUAAAACAAAACAAAACAAAACAAAAUAAGGUAGUCCAGACAGU